AACUGCGAAUGGCUCAUUAAAUCAGUUAUCGUUUAUUUGAUAGUACCUUACUACAUGGAUACCUGUGGUAAUUCUAGAGCUAAUACAUGCUGAAAACCCCGACUUCAGGAAGGGGUGUAUUUAUUAGAUAAAAAACCAACGCCCUUCGGGGCUCCUUGGUGAAUCAUAAUAACUUAACGAAUCGCAUGGCCUUGCGCCGGCGAUGGUUCAUUCAAAUUUCUGCCCUAUCAACUUUCGAUGGUAGGAUAGUGGCCUACCAUGGUGGCAACGGGUAACGGGGAAUUAGGGUUCGAUUCCGGAGAGGGAGCCUGAGAAACGGCUACCACAUCCAAGGAAGGCAGCAGGCGCGCAAAUUACCCAAUCCCGACACGGGGAGGUAGUGACAAUAAAUACUGAUACGGGGCUCUUUCGGGUCUCGUAAUUGGAAUGAGAACAAUUUAAAUCCCUUAACGAGGAACAAUUGGAGGGCAAGUCUGGUGCCAGCAGCCGCGGUAAUUCCAGCUCCAAUAGCGUAUAUUAAAGUUGUUGCAGUUAAAAAGCUCGUAGUUGAACCUUGGGUCUGGCUGGCCGGUCCGCCUCACCGCGAGUACUGGUCCGGCUGGACCUUUCCUUCUGGGGAACCCCAUGGCCUUCACUGGCUGUGGGGGGAACCAGGACUUUUACUGUGAAAAAAUUAGAGUGUUCAAAGCAGGCCUUUGCUCGGAUACAUUAGCAUGGAAUAAUAGAAUAGGACGUGCGGUUCUAUUUUGUUGGUUUCUAGGACCGCCGUAAUGAUUAAUAGGGAUAGUCGGGGGCGUCAGUAUUCAGCUGUCAGAGGUGAAAUUCUUGGAUUUGCUGAAGACUAACUACUGCGAAAGCAUUCGCCAAGGAUGUUUUCAUUAAUCAGGGAACGAAAGUUAGGGGAUCGAAGACGAUCAGAUACCGUCGUAGUCUUAACCAUAAACUAUGCCGACUAGGGAUCGGACGGGAUUCUAUGAUGACCCGUUCGGCACCUUACGAGAAAUCAAAGUUU
rnacentral:rRNA from 1 species